AUUGAACGCUGGCGGCAGGCCUAACACAUGCAAGUCGAGCGAGCGGCGGACGGGUGAGUAAUGUAUGGGGACUGCCCGAUAGAGGGGGGUAACUACUGGAAACGGUAGCUAAUACCGCAUACUAUCGGAUAACCCAUAUGGGAUUAGCUAGUAGGUGAGGUAAUGGCUCACCUAGGCAACGAUCCGUAGCCGGUGUGAGAGGACGACCAGCCACACUGGGACGGAGACACGGCCCAGAGGCCUACGGAGGCAGCAGUGGGGAAUUUGGGACAAUGGGGGAAACCCUGAUCCAGCCGGCCCGCGUGUAUGAUGGAGGCCUUCGGGUGGGAAAGUACUUUUGGCAGAGGAGCGGUAUCUGCAGAAUAAGCACCGGCUAACUACGUGCCAGCAGCCGCGGUAAUUC
rnacentral:rRNA from 1 species